rnacentral:rRNA from 1 species
GGCAAAAGCUCAAAUUUGAAAUCUAGUACCUUCGGUGCUCGAGUUGUAAUUUGUAGAGGGAUACUUUGGGGCCGUUCCUUGUCUAUGUUCCUUGGAACAGGACGUCAUAGAGGGUGAGAAUCCCGUGUGGCGAGGAGUGCGGUUCUAUGUAAAGUGCCUUCGAAGAGUCGAGUUGUUUGGGAAUGCAGCUCUAAGUGGGUGGUAAAUUCCAUCUAAAGCUAAAUAUUGGCGAGAGACCGAUAGCGAACAAGUACAGUGAUGGAAAGAUGAAAAGAACUUUGAAAAGAGAGUGAAAAAGUACGUGAAAUUGUUGAAAGGGAAGGGCAUUUGAUCAGACAUGGUGUUUUGCGCCCUCUGCUCCUUGUGGGUGGGGGACUCUCGCAGCUCACUGGGCCAACAUCAGUUUUGGUGGUCGGACAAAUCCGUAGGAAUGUAGCUUACCUCGGUAAGUGUUAUAGCCUGCGGGAAUACGGCCAGCCGGGACUGAGGACUGCGACUUUUGUCAAGGAUGUUGGCAUAAUGGUUAUAUGCCGCCCGUCU